UGGAAAUAUUGGUUUUAUGCAGCAUGAGGGUGAAUGAUUUAGAAAGAUUUCACUGGCAGGAUUCACUCCUAGAAAACACAGAUGCGGAGGAAAACAGACACGGUUCUGCUGAUCUGCAAGCACAGAAAAAUACUGUUGAGGGGUGUUGAGAUUUUCACCACUUACCAGAGCUGCAAAUGCAACGUGCUUGACUGUCCAAUUGAAUAGUUAAAAAAAAAAAAGGAAGGACUAACUUGCAAGUACAGACAAUCUCCAUUAUAAUGUGUGCUAGCUAAGCUUGUUCUUAAACGUUCUGGUAGUUCUAUUUCAGUUAAAAUUGGAUGGUUUCAUUUUCUGGAG
ensembl:lncRNA